rnacentral:rRNA from 1 species
UGGUGUGAAUUGCAGAAUCCCGUGAACCAUCGAGUCUUUGAACGCAAGUUGCGCCCGACGCCUUUGGCCGAGGGCACGCCUGCCUGGGCGUCACGC